GACGAACGCUGGCGGCGCGCCUAACACAUGCAAGUCGAACGAGCGAGAGAGAGCUUGCUUUCUUGAGCGAGUGGCGAACGGGUGAGUAACGCGUGAGGAACCUGCCUCAAAGAGGGGGACAACAGUUGGAAACGACUGCUAAUACCGCAUAAGCCCACGGUGCCGCAUGGCACAGAGGGAAAAGGAGCAAUCCGCUUUGAGAUGGCCUCGCGUCCGAUUAGCUAGUUGGUGAGGUAACGGCCCACCAAGGCGACGAUCGGUAGCCGGACUGAGAGGUUGAACGGCCACAUUGGGACUGAGACACGGCCCAGACUCCUACGGGAGGCAGCAGUGGGGAAUAUUGCACAAUGGGGGAAACCCUGAUGCAGCGACGCCGCGUGGAGGAAGAAGGUCUUCGGAUUGCAAACUCCUGUUGUUGGGGAAGAUAAUGACGGUACCCAACAAGGAAGAGACGGCUAACUACGUG
rnacentral:rRNA from 1 species